AUGGAUAUAAGCAAAGUUUUUGAAGAGUUAUCCAAAAGUAUUUCAACAAAGUAUUUCAACUUUGAUGAGGACUCCAGGAUUGAGCCUGCCCUGAAAAAUGUCACAUUCUGCCCAAAAAGAGUGAUUAAUGACCUACUAAUGAACCCAUCACUCAGGAGGCCUAAAUCAUACAGCAUAUCCCACAGGUGCUUUCUUCUUUCUUAUUAUAUGUGUAUUUGUGGUUCUUUCACAUCACAAAAUGAUCUAAAAUCUUUCACUGAUUUGCAUAAAUGCAGAGAGAGAGCAGAGAGGGCUGAGAACAGGAAGAGGCCUGUGAAUACGACCGCUCGAGCGUACAGAGCCUGGUUUCAGUGGUGGAGGUGUCAACUAUCAAUGGAUGAUUAUCUCAACUACAUUUCUAAUCAGGUUAGUUUAUAAUAGGAGUGUGUGUUUACGGGUAAUAACUGCUAAAUAUAUUCAGGAUUUGUGGACUUUAACAGUUGUGCUUGUGUUAUUUGUGCCCUGGUUUUGAAGGACUCUGAUUAUCUGUCAGUGCUGUUUCACCUGUAUGACAGUGAUGAUGAUGAUGAUGAAGAGGCAGAGAGACACAAGCUGGCUCAGCUGCAGAGAGCUGAAAGGAGAAGGUUCUUGUUUUUUUUUUUUUAGUUUAUCCUCCUACACUUACUGUAAAAUGUUGAACAUCCAUGACACAUCCUUUCAACUUCUUAUACUGUGACAGUCAACAAAUGGCUAAACACCAACAUAUUAAUAAAUGUAUAUUAUUAUACAGUAUUGUUAUUUUAUUCAUAUAAAGUUCAUUUUUAUCUGAUCGUCAUCUCUUCCAGAAGGCAACAGGAAAGGGUCACGUCACUUAGGAGACAGAAACAAGAAUUUGUUCCUGGAUUCUGGAACAUCAACACCAUAGAGAUGGGAGGACUGGGAAGGGAACCAGAACUGCAUGGCAUGUUAUAGUUUUCUUUAAAAAAUAAAAUAAAAUACUGGUACAUUUAUGAAAAUAUGUUAUUUAGUGUCCAAAACUGCAUGAAUGAAUGCAGAAAUAUCUGUGUUUCAGAGAAAAACCCAGAAGAGGAAAUACAAGAUGCAGUGAGUUCAUGUUCCUUUCCUCAUAAUCUAACACAGCACUUCUGUUUUCCACUGAUUACGCCAUCUAUCAUGUCAUGUCGCUGUUAUUUUUAGUACAGGCUUCUGUUUAGCUGAAAUAAGUCUGAAGCACACAGUCUUGCUGACACAAUCAAUUUUUUGUAUAAUAGACAGAUAGAUAGGUAGACAGACAGAAAGAUCGACAGACAGAAUGAUUGAUUGCUUGAUUGACGUUCUUCAGUCUGAAGGAGAGGAAGCUGAAGGUCCAGCUGCUGGACUUCUGGAUGGAGAACCGAUGCAGGUCAGGCUGGAGAGGGUCUGGAAUGCCCUGCUUCUGCCAGAAGGACAGCGACUAGACAUGGCCAUCAAAUACAGCUCUCAUGAGUACAUGGACCAUCUGCAGGAGGUACAGAUAAUGAUAAUGAAUUCUCCUGGCUUUCCAUCAUUAUCAUCCAGGAUUUAUGUUGCCACAUGGAUGUGUUUGUGCCCUUAGGCAAUUGCUGCAUGGGAGCAGGCUGCUGGGUUGAUCCAGAAGAGGGAGCUCUUGCUCUCCAGGUUGGAAGACUUUGAGCGGGAGGCGUCUGACCCCAACAGAUUUUUCCAGCGAGGUGCAUCAGAGGCACAGAAUAAUGAAUUCUGACACUUGAAAUAUGCAGAUUUAGAUUCAGAAAGAUUCUUAUGAAGUGAAUCAAAUAAAAUAGUGACUCUAAUACUGAUUCUUUUCAAUUACACAGGUUAUAAUGGUUCUUCCAUCGCUAGAAUGGAAGAGGCAAGUCAAAGGGAGAAGCUCAACUCUCAGAUUUCAGUUGUAGACCAAGAGCUGUCCAAGACUAUGGGCCACAUCACGACCCGUUUCAAUGACAACAUCAGCUAUAAGGUGAGUGCAUCAAAGCUUGGUUGCACACCAUUGGUUAUCUGCAGCUGUUUAACAUUCUCGAUGCUGUUUGGGUUGUCACAGGGUCGGCCGUACAGAGAGAAGAUGCGCUGGGACCGUACUGAGAUGCUGUACUGGCUGCAGCAGGAGAGGCGGGUUCAGUCUCUGGAGAUGUUUGUAGAUGGACAGAUGGUUCUGCCUGUAAGGCUUCCUCCUCUGAAUCAAAGCAAGGAGCUUCACAGGCAACCAUCAAACCCUCCAGGAACAACCUCUGUCACGCUGUGAGAGAAAUGGCCAAUUAAUGCAACACUGUGAACUCUAAAAAAAAUACCAUUGUAGUGCAAACAAUAGCAAAUAAAGCAAGAUCUGUCAGUUUUGUAGACCUGUUUGAUUCUGAUUACUGGUUUAGUAUAUUCUUACUAGUUUGCUGAAGAACUUUCAGACUUUGAAACGGAGUUGGCUUAACACUUUUUCAAAUUUUUUAUAUGAUUUAUAUAUCUAUAUCCUUGUUUUAGCAGCUUAGAAAUAAAAUCAGAAAUUAUUUUGUUAUGAAAUGUGGGAAAAAUACAUUUAUUCUUUCAUACAUCCGUUUUGUGUGAAAAUUAGCAUUUUGUUUUACAGUGUCUAUAUUACACAAAUUGCAUGCUAAAAAAUAAUAAAAUAGAACUGACAAUAUCAAUGUGAAAGUAAUCAAGUCUAAAAAUAAUUGCGUAUUAAAUACAUGUUGGGUUAUUUAAGAAUCACUGAGAUAUUCUUAGUUUUAAUUAAUAUUUUACAUUUUAUAUUUCCAAGUUUUAGUAAUUUUGUUGUGUGGUUUAGUCAUUUUUAUUUUUAAACUAGCUAAAAUAUUUAUUUAUUCAUUUUACAUUUUAUUCACUAAAUGUUUAUUUUAUUUUAAUGUUUUUUUUAUUUUAAUUAAAUAUUAUAACCCUGCUACACUGUACAUACAUAUAAAAUUAUUAAUAGUGUAGAAAUUACCAAUGAUAAAUAAUGAUUUUAAAUUAAUUAUUUUAUUAUUAACUUGUUUAACGUUUCAUUAUCUGUUAGUUCAAUAUUUUACAUAAAUAUUAGACACAGGAAAUACACUGUCCUUUCUUUUAUCUUGCAACACAUAUCAGAAUAGUAACAUAUUGUGUGCUUCCCCUUCACGGUAGUAUUACUGUACUCUGCUAUUUAAUAUGCAACAAUAACCUUUUUUAGAUAACUAAUCAUUAUUUGUUUAUAAAGAAUAUAUAGGAUAUAUAAGACGUUUCUAAAUAUGAUGUAUUACCUUGUCUCUUUUUUUGUUUUGUUUUGUUUUGUUUUUUGUUUAGUUAUGUUGUUUCACUUACUCCCAGUAGUUGGCAGUGCACUCUUUCCCGUUUGUUUUUAUGUCUCCAAUCAACAGAAGCGAAGAGGAGAAUCGGGGCGUUCUGAUUGGCUGUCUGCACAUCACGUCGUCUUUUCUGUUUCUAAACGUUUCCUGUCAUCACCUCUCUGAUUCUAGAUAUUUCUAACAAAAUGACAGCAAAUAACAAGGCAUCAGCAGGUACGUCAUCUUAUUUUUAUGCUCAAUAUUUCAAACUCCGGCUAAAGAGAGCUGACUUACUCCCAGUAGUUGGCAGUGCACUCUUUCCCGUUUGUUUUUAUGUCUCCAAUCAACAGAAGCGAAGAGGAGAAUCGGGGCGUUCUGAUUGGCUGUCUGCACAUCACGUCGUCUUUUCUGUUUCUAAACGUUUCCUGUCAUCACCUCUCUGAUUCUAGAUAUUUCUAACAAAAUGACAGCGAAUAACAAGGCAUCAGCAGGUACGUCAUCUUAUUUUUAUGCUCAAUAUUUCAAACUCCGGCUAAAGAGAGCUGAAUUAUUUAUUUUAUGUAACGUAACGUCAGUCGUAUCUGAUCAAAACAACACCAGUUGGUCCAAAGAGCAGCCUCUUGAUAAUAACAAUAUCCAUUUAUGAACAACAAAUUACUAUUUCUAUAAACAUAUUCGAUUUAUAUAGAGAUAACAGUUAAUUAUUAUGGUAAUAGUCAUUUAGCGUUUAAGAUAAUUCGAGUUAACUUACACUGACAAAAACAAAACAAACCAGCACAUUAUGGUAAAUAUGUGAGACCUAGUACUAACUUACAGUAUUUCCUUAAGAAGCAUCAGUUAAAUCAUUUUACUAUAUUUCCAUUGAAAGUGAUCAUGUGUAAACAGCGAGUUA
rnacentral:lncRNA from 1 species